UCAUAAAAGGUGGCUUUUAGCUACCACUUACAGAUGGACCCGCGGCGCAUUAGCUAGUUGGUGAGGUAACGGCUCACCAAGGCGANGAUGNGUAGCCGACNUGAGAGGGUGAUCGGCCACACUGGGACUGAGACACGGCCCAGACUCNUACGGGAGGCAGCAGUAGGGAAUCUUCCGCAAUGGACGAAAGUCUGACGGAGCAACGCCGCGUGAGUGAUGAAGGUUUUCGGAUCGUAAAACUCUGUUGUUAGGGAAGAACAAGUACCGUUNGAAUAGGGCGGCACCUUGACGGUACCUAACCAGAAAGCCACGGCUAACUACGUGCCAGCAGCCGCGGUAAUACGUAGGUGGCAAGCGUUGUCCGNAAUUAUUGGGCGUAAAGCGCGCGCAGGCGGUUUCUUAAGUCUGAUGUGAAAGCCCCCGGCUCAACCGGGGAGGGUCAUUGGAAACUGGGGAACUUGAGUGCAGAAGAGGAGAGUGGAAUUCCACGUGUAGCGGUGAAAUGCGUAGAGAUGUGGAGGAACACCAGUGGNGAAGGCGACUUUCUGGUCUGUAACUGACGCUGAGGCGCGAAAGCGUGGGGAGCGAACAGGAUUAGAUACCCUGGUAGUCCACGCCGUAAACGAUGAGUGCUAAGUGUUAGAGGGUUUCCGCCCUUUAGUGCUGCAGCAAACGCAUAAGC
rnacentral:rRNA from 1 species